rnacentral:misc_RNA from 1 species
UACGAAGGGGGCUAGCGUUGUUCGGAAUCACUGGGCGUAAAGCGUAUGCAGGCGGAUCGCUAAGUCGGGGGUGAAAUCCCGAGGCUCAACCUCGGAACUGCCUUCGAUACUGGCGAUCUUCGAGUCCGGGAGAGGUGAGUGGAACUGCGAGUGUAGAGGUGAAAUUCGUAGAUAUUCGCAAGAACACCAGUGGCGAAGGCGGCUCACUGGCCCGGUACUGACGCUGAGAUACGAAAGCGUGGGGAGCAAACAGG